rnacentral:rRNA from 1 species
UGGCGGCGUGCUUAACACAUGCAAGUCGAACGAUGAAGCCCUUCGGGGUGGAUUAGUGGCGAACGGGUGAGUAACACGUGGGCAAUCUGCCCUGCACUCUGGGACAAGCCCUGGAAACGGGGUCUAAUACCGGAUACGACAUCCUCCCGCAUGGGAAGGGUGUGGAAAGCUCCGGCGGUGCAGGAUGAGCCCGCGGCCUAUCAGCUUGUUGGUGGGGUGAUGGCCUACCAAGGCGACGACGGGUAGCCGGCCUGAGAGGGCGACCGGCCACACUGGGACUGAGACACGGCCCAGACUCCUACGGGAGGCAGCAGUGGGGAAUAUUGCACAAUGGGCGAAAGCCUGAUGCAGCGACGCCGCGUGAGGGAUGACGGCCUUCGGGUUGUAAACCUCUUUCAGCAGGGAAGAAGCGAAAGUGACGGUACCUGCAGAAGAAGCACCGGCUAACUACGUGCCAGCAGCCGCGGUAAUACGUAGGGUGCGAGCGUUGUCCGGAAUUAUUGGGCGUAAAGAGCUCGUAGGCGGCCUGUCACGUCGGAUGUGAAAGCCCGGGGCUUAACCCCGGGUCUGCAUUCGAUACGGGCAGGCUAGAGUUCGGUAGGGGAGAUCGGAAUUCCUGGUGUAGCGGUGAAAUGCGCAGAUAUCAGGAGGAACACCGGUGGCGAAGGCGGAUCUCUGGGCCGAUACUGACGCUGAGGAGCGAAAGCGUGGGGAGCGAACAGGAUUAGAUACCCUGGUAGUCCACGCCGUAAACGUUGGGAACUAGGUGUGGGCGACAUUCCACGUCGUCCGUGCCGCAGCUAAC